CCUACGGGUGGCAGCAGUGGGGAAUAUUGCGCAAUGGGCGAAAGCCUGACGCAGCGACGCCGCGUGAGGGAUGACGGUCUUCGGAUCGUAAACCCCUGUCAGCAGGGAAGAACGGUCACUGUGCUAAUCAGCAGUGAAUUGACGGUACCUGCAAAGGAAGCACCGGCUAACUCCGUGCCAGCCGCUGCGGGAAUACGGAGGGUGCGAGCGUUAAUCGGAAUUACUGGGCGUAAAGCGCUCGUAGGCGGUAUGUCAAGUCAAGGGUGAAAUCCCCGCGCUCAACGUGGGAACUGCCUUUGAAACUGGCAAACUGGAGUGUGUGAGAAGAUAGUGGAAUUCCAGGUGUAGGAGUGAAAUCCGUAGAUAUCUGGAGGAACAUCAGUGGCGAAGGCGACUAUCUGGCACAUAACUGACGCUGAGGAGCGAAAGCGUGGGUAGCAAACAGGAUUAGAUACCCCAGUAGUC
rnacentral:rRNA from 1 species